UCUGUCAGCUCAUUGUUUUAUUUUUUUACUACCUCGGCGCACACAUACACUUCUAUCAACCGCAUAGCUAACUUCAUUGCGCUCAACUGACAUAUUCGUUUUUUAAUUUUAAACAAUAAGCAACUAACGACUCCGGAAUUUUGAUUUCAAUCAAUUUUCUAAUAAUCAGAAAAAUUAUUUCAUUAAAAUGGUGAUACAAUGUUGUGUAAAAGACUGUGGUACUGUUGGAAAUAAUAAUUUCCACAGUUUCCCCAAAAACAAGCAAAUCGCAGAAAAGUGGAUUGCGGCUGCCCAAGCGGUACAUUUGAUUGAAAAACUGAAUGAUAACAAACUAUCGAGUUCAUUCUACAAAGUGUGUAGAAAACACUUCCAAGAAUCUGAUCUCACGAAAAAUGGAAAAGGACAGAUCAUUGUGAAGCAGGAUUGCGCACCGAGCCUGUUCCUGCCAAAUAAUACUAACGUUCCAGCAGCGAUGACUAUCAAUUCUCCCAAUCCUCCACACCAGCACAAUUCACUGCCAGCCGUGAGUUUUUUUCGGAAGGAAUUAUAAAUACCUUGGUCGACUAUAUCAUUUGAAAUAUCUUAGGACAAGGACAAAUCAGUGGAUCAACCUGAAAGUGAUCGCAAGUUUGAUGAAAAGGGCACUGGACGUCAAAUUGGCAAUCGCUCCAAAGCCAUGGUUUGUGGACAUGUUGGAUGUCGUCUACGUCUAUUUGUUUUGUGCCGUCUUGUUUUAUGUGUAAUAAAUGUGAUCGUCUCGUAUAUUUA